ACCCUCACUAAUUAAAUACAAAAAAAAAAAGAAAGAAAAAAAGAAAAGAAAAAGAAAGAAAAGUCAAA
rnacentral:ribozyme from 1 species